GUCCUAGCCGUAAACGAUGGACACUGGGUGUUGGCCCCUUUAGGGGUCAGUGCCGUAGGUAACCCGCUAAGUGUCCCACCUGAGGAGUACGGCCGCAAGGUUGAAACUCAAAGGAAUUGACGGGGGCCAGCACAAGCGGUGGAACAUGUGGUUCAAUUCGAUGCUACGCGAAGAACCUUACCCAGGCUUGACAUGCUUGAAGUAGGAACCUGAAAGGGCCACGACUCGUAACCAGUCGAGAACUUGCACAGGUGCUGCAUGGCUGUCGU
rnacentral:rRNA from 1 species